GCUCCGCGCCGCAUCCCCCGUGUCCGUGUCGUCGUCUCCGGUCGUCGUUUUGCUGUCAAACAAGAUGGCGGUCCUAGCUGCGGCUGCGUUGCUCGAUGAGCUUAUGGGAAGAAAUAGAAAUGCUCUUGGAGAUAAACAGAAAGAUCUCAAUUGGGAGGAUCCAGAGUUUUGUAAGAUGCACAUGGUGAAAUUUUGUCCUCAUGAUCUGUUCGUCAAUACACGUGCUGAUCUCGGAGCAUGUUCUCGUCUACACGACGAUGAAGCCAAGAACCAGUACGAAAAGUCUACUAGUUAUAAGAAGCAGCAAUAUGAAGAUGACUUUGUCCGAUUUUGUCAGGGCAUGGUCAGUGAGGUCGAACGCAAAAUAGCCAAAGGAAAAUCCCGCUUGGCUUUGAUUACGAAAGCUGACACAGCAUCACUCACACCAGCCCAAACACAACAAAAUACUGAUCAAAUUAAUCUGCUUUCUGAAAAAAUUAAUAACCUAGUUAGCGAAGCAGAGCAAAUGGGUACUCAAGGUAACGUAGAAAAAGCCCAAGGAUUGAUGAAACUGUGUGACCAGCUGAAAGAAGAACGGGAACAGCUGCGUAAACAGAAUGAUAACAGCCACUGGCAACAGACUGCUGACUUGGCUGCAGCUCAGGAAAAACAGAUGGAAGUUUGCGAUGUAUGUGGUGCUUUUCUAAUUGUUGGGGAUGCUCAAUCCAGAAUUGAUGAUCAUCUCAUGGGGAAACAACACAUGGGUUAUGCACGGCUCCGGUCUGCCAUUGAAGAAAUACAGUCCAAUAGGACAAAAGCGAGAGAAGAAAAAGAAAAGCGCAGAGAAGAAGAACGAAGGGAAAGGUACAAAGCCAGGGAUGAAGAAGAGAAGAAGAAAGAGCGUGAAAGAGAAGAAAGAAGGAAGAGGCGCGAAGAGGAAGAAGCAUCCCUAAGGAGGAGAAACAGGGAGAGAAGUCCGGGAAGACAUCGCAGGAGAAGUCGGAGUAGAGAUCGUGAAAGGCCUGCACGCCACGAUGAUCGCCAUGGAAGAGAGCCAAGAGAUCGUGACAAAGAAAAACACAGGGGUUCAUCUAUGCAAGGUGGUCGUGACUGGAAGAAUUCCUAUAGGGGUGAUCGAGGUGAUGAACAAUAUGAGUACCGGCGUGAAGAUGACCGGGACCGACACAGAAGAGAGAAAGGCAUGAAUGGUGAGGCUUCUAGACACAGCAGCAAGAGCCAUCACCACCACAGUAACAGAUCUCAUCAUCGGGAGGAGUAUGAGGAGGAAAACUCAAGGAGCCGUCGCAUUCAAGAUGCUUAUGAUGAAGACCACAUCAACAGUCACUGAUCUCUGAGGUACAGGCUUUCUCUGAAAGUAUGUUGUCAUCGGCAUCUCCAAGCCAUCGCGGUUCAUAUUGGAAUCGGAGCAAUUGGUCACAGGGUGCUGAUAUCGCGGAUUCCAUCAAGAUAUCCUCCCAUCAUGGAUGCCCUGAUGCCAUGUUGCACAUCACAACAUACCGUCUGUCAAGGUGAUUUAUAUUAUAAGAGUAGUUCAAGUUAAGAAAUGUUUUAAUUAGAAUGUCUUGACAGAGUUUGGGGUAUCAUUCCAUGCAUAGCAGGAAAAGGCAGAGAAAUCAGAGAAUUUUAUAAUUAUAGUUGUUUGCUUGACCUUUUCUUGAACUCUUUGAUGAAUCAAUUUGGUAGAUUGCCUGAAAUAAUAACAACAAAGUGCUGAAGCCUUUCAGCUUGCUAAGCAUUUUUCUUCUAACUUUAGGUUAAACCAAGCAACUUUUCUGCCUAUAGUGCACAAAAUGAAAUGAUAACAUUUUCCUCUUCAUUUUGUAAGCUCAAAGCACUUCCUUUGUUAAAAAAAAAAUGCAAGUUGCGUUUCCUGUCAGGCCCUGAAUGCUGUUCAUUUAAGGAGUCUUUUUGUAUGGAUAGUAGUUAUGAGUUAAUCAAUUUGGGCUGUGAUCUUCUCUGGAGAAAUUUUGAUCAUACCUGUUUGUGUGCCUUCUGAUGCACUUUAUUGUAUUGUGAUUAGGAACUUGGCGUGUCUACAUUCGUCCUAUGUUUAAUAUUGGAUUUUAUCCCAAUAAAUUUCAAGUGGUAUCCAUAAACUA